rnacentral:rRNA from 1 species
ACGGGUGAGUAACGCGUGGAUAACGUACCCUAGGGUUGAGGAUAACCCACCGAAAGGUGGACUAAUACUGAAUGUGUUCCUGGAAGGUGAGCCUACUAGGAAGAAAGCAGGGUAACCUGCGCCCAAGGAUCGGUCCGCGUUCCAUCAGCUAGUUGGUGGGGUAAUGGCCUACCAAGGCUACGACGGAUAGCUGGUCUGAGAGGAUGAUCAGCCACACUGGGACUGAGACACGGCCCAGACUCCUACGGGAGGCAGCAGUGGGGAAUAUUGGUCAAUGGGCGAAAGCCUGAACCAGCAAUGCCGCGUGAGUGAUGAAGGCCUUCGGGUUGUAAAGCUCUGUCAGUGGGAACGAAUAAGCCGAUUAAUACUCGGUGGUGACGGUACCCACAAAGGAAGCACCGGCUAACUCUGUGCCAGCAGCCGCGGUAAUACAGAGGGUGCAAGCGUUGUUCGGAAUUACUGGGCGUAAAGCGCGUGUAGGCGGUCUGGCAAGUCGGUCGUGAAAGCCCUUGGCUUAACCAAGGAACUGCGAUCGAAACUACUAGACUUGAGUAUCGGAGGGGGUGGCGGAAUUCCCGGU